GACGGGGAUGCGAGCGUUAUCCGGAAUGAUUGGGCGUAAAGGGUCCGCAAGGUGGCCCGGUCAGUCCGGCUGUCAAAGCCUGGGCCCAACCCUGGACAGGCGGUGGGAACGUACCACGGCUGGAGUACGGUAGGGGCAGAGGGAAUUCCGGUGGAGCGGUGAAAUGCGUAGAGGAUCGGAAAGACACCAACGGCGAAAGCACUCUGCUGGGCCGGACACUCGACACUGAGAGACGAAGCUAGGGGAGCGAAUGGGAUU
rnacentral:rRNA from 1 species